UGGGGAAUAUUGCACAAUGGGCGCAAGCCUGAUGCAGCCAUGCCGCGUGUGUGAAGAAGGCCUUCGGGUUGUAAAGCACUUUCAGCGAGGAGGAAGGUGGUGAAGCUUAAUACGCUCAUCAAUUGACGUUACUCGCAGAAGAAGCACCGGCUAACUCCGUGCCAGCAGCCGCGGUAAUACGGAGGGUGCAAGCGUUAAUCGGAAUUACUGGGCGUAAAGCGCACGCAGGCGGUUUGUUAAGUCAGAUGUGAAAUCCCCGGGCUCAACCUGGGAACUGCAUUUGAAACUGGCAAGCUAGAGUCUCGUAGAGGGGGGUAGAAUUCCAGGUGUAGCGGUGAAAUGCGUAGAGAUCUGGAGGAAUACCGGUGGCGAAGGCGGCCCCCUGGACGAAGACUGACGCUCAGGUGCGAAAGCGUGGGGCAGCAAACAGGAUUAGAUACCCUGGUAGUCCACGCUGUAAACGAUGUCGAUUUUGGAGGUUGUGCCCCUUGAGGCGUGGCUUCCGGAGCUAACGCGUUAAAUCGACCGCCUGGGGAGUACGG
rnacentral:rRNA from 1 species